rnacentral:rRNA from 1 species
CACCGCGGUUAUACGAAAGACCCUAGUUGAUAGAUACGGCGUAAAGGGUGGUUAAGGAAAUAAAAUAAUAAAGCUAAAGAUUUCCCAAACUGUCAUACGCCCCCGGAAAUACGAAACCCAAAUACGAAAGUAGCUUUAAACUAAUUCACCUGACCCCACGAAAGCUAAGAAACAAACUGGGAUUAGAUACCCCACUAUGCUUAGCGCUAAACCCAGAUGGUAAAUUACAAACACAUCCGCCAGGGUACUACGAGCACAGCUUAAAACCCAAAGGACUUGGCGGUGUCUCAGACCCACCUAGAGGAGCCUGUUCUAGAACCGAUAACCCCCGUUAAACCUCACCACUUCUAGCCUUACCCGCCUAUAUACCGCCGUCGUCAGCUUACCCUGUGAAGGCCCAACAGUAAGCAAAAUGGGCUCGCCCAAAAACGUCAGGUCGAGGUGUAGCGUACGAAGUGGAUAGAAAUGGGCUACAUUUUCUAUAGAUAGAAUAUACGAAUAGCACCCUGAAACGAGUGCUUAAAGGUGGAUUUAGCAGUAAAAAGCAAAUAGAGUGUCCUUUUGAAUCAGGCUCUGAGACGCGCACACACCGCCCGUCACUCUCCCCCAAAUCACUAAUCAAAUAAUUCAUAAUAACAAAACCAUUCUCACGGGGAGGCAAGUCGUAACAUGGUAAGUGUACCGGAAGGUGCACUUGGAAUAAUCAGAGCGUGGCUGAG